UUCCGGUUGAUCCCGCCGGACCCGACUGCUAUCGGAUUGAGACUAAGCCAUGCGAGUCAACCCGCAAGGGUGGCGGACGGCUCAGUAACACGUAGUCAACCUGCCCUAGGGACGUGGAUAACCACGGGAAACUGUGGCUAAACCGCGAUAGAUCAUUGCUGCUGGAAUGGGCAAUGGCUCAAACCUAUAUGGCCCUAGGAUGGGACUGCGGCCGAUCAGGUUGUUGGCGGGGUAAUGGCCCACCAAGCCUGUAACCGGUACGGGCUCUGAGAGGAGAAGCCCGGAGAUGGGCACUGAGACAAGGGCCCAGGUCCUAUGGGACGCAGCAGGCGCGAAACCUUCGCAAUAGGCGAAAGCCUGACGAGGUUAAUCCGAGUGUUUCCUGCUAAAGGAAUCUUUUGUCAGCUCUAAAUAGGCUGAUGAAUAAGGGGUGGGCAAGCCUGGUGUCAGCCGCCGCGGUAAUACCAGCACCCCGAGUGGUCGGGAUGAUUAUUGGGCCUAAAGCAUCCGUAGCCGGUUCUACAAGUCUUCCGUUAAAUCCACCUGCUUAACAGUUGGGCUGCGGGAGAUACUGUAGGACUAGGAGGCGGGAGAGGCGAGGGGUAUUCCUUGGGUAGGGGUAAAAUCCUCUGAUCCAUGGAGGACCACCAGUGGCGAAGGCGUCUCGCCAGAACGCGCUCGACGGUGAGGGAUGAAAGCUGGGGGAGCAAACCGGAUUAGAUACCCGGGUAGUCCCAGCUGUAAACGAUGCAGGCUCGGUGAUGGACUGGCUUCGCGCCAGUCCAGUGCCGCAGGGAAGCCGUUAAGCCUGCCGCCUGGGGAGUACGGUCGCAAGACUGAAACUUAAAGGAAUUGGCGGGGGAGCACCACAAGGGGUGAAGCCUGCGGUUCAAUUGGAUUCAACGCCGGA
rnacentral:rRNA from 1 species